AUUGAACGCUGGCGGCAUGCCUUACACAUGCAAGUCGAACGGUAACAGGUCUUCGGAUGCUGACGAGUGGCGAACGGGUGAGUAAUACAUCGGAACGUGCCCGAGAGUGGGGGAUAACGAAGCGAAAGCUUUGCUAAUACCGCAUACGAUCUCAGGAUGAAAGCAGGGGACCGCAAGGCCUUGCGCUCACGGAGCGGCCGAUGGCAGAUUAGGUAGUUGGUGGGAUAAAAGCUUACCAAGCCGACGAUCUGUAGCUGGUCUGAGAGGACGACCAGCCACGCUGGGACUGAGACACGGCACAGACUCCUACGGGAGGCAGCAGUGGGGAAUUUUGGACAAUGGGCGCAAGCCUGAUCCAGCCAUGCCGCGUGCAGGAUGAAGGCCUUCGGGUUGUAAACUGCUUUUGUACGGAACGAAAAGACUCCUUCUAAUAAAGGGGGUCCAUGACGGUACCGUAAGAAUGAGCACCGGCUAACUACGUGCCAGCAGCCGCCGUAAUAC
rnacentral:rRNA from 1 species